AUUGAACGCUGGCGGCAGGCCUAACACAUGCAAGUCGAACGAGUGGCGGACGGGUGAGUAAUGCCUGGGAAACUGGCUGAUGGAGGGGGAUAACUACUGGAAACGGUAGCUAAUACCGCGUACCAUCGGAUGAGCCCAGGUGGGAUUAGGUGGUUGGUGGGGUAAAGGCUCACCAAGCCGACGAUCCCUAGCUGGUCUGCGAGGAGGACCAGCCACACUGGAACUGAGACACGGUCCAGCCUCCUACGGGAGGCAGCAGUGGGGAAUAUGGCACAAUGGGCGCAAGCCUGAUACAGCCAUGCCGCGUGUAUGAAGAAGGCCUUCGGGUUGUAAAGUACUUUCAGCGAGGAGGCGUUACUCGCAGAAGAAGCACCGGCUAACUCCGUGCCAGCAGCCGCGGUAAUUC
rnacentral:rRNA from 1 species